rnacentral:rRNA from 1 species
CCUGAACGCUGGCGGCGUGGUUAAGACAUGCAAGUCGUGGGGCAGCGCAGUGUAGCAAUACAUGGGCGGCGACCGGCAAACGGGUGCGGAACACGUACGCAACUUACCCAAAACUGGGGGAUAGCCCGGGGAAACCCGGAUUAAUACCCCGUAACAUAAUGAAGUGGCAUCACUUUAUUAUUAUAGCUCCGGCGGUUUUGGAUGGGCGUGCGCCUGAUUAGGUAGUUGGCGGGGUAACGGCCCACCAAGCCACGAUCAGUAACUGGUGUGAGAGCACGACCAGUCACACGGGCACUGAGACACGGGCCCGACUCCUACGGGAGGCAGCAGUAAGGGAAUAUUGGUCAAUGGUCGAAAGACUGAUCCAGCCAUGCCGCGUGCAGGAUGACAGCCCUA